rnacentral:rRNA from 1 species
AUACGGAGGGUGCAAGCGUUACUCGGAAUCACUGGGCGUAAAGGAUGCGUAGGCUGGAUGUCAAGUUGGAAGUGAAAUCCUAUGGCUUAACCAUAGAACUGCUUCCAAAACUGGCAACCUAGAGUGAGGGAGAGGCAGAUGGAAUUAGUGGUGUAGGGGUAAAAUCCGUAGAUAUCACUAGGAAUACCGAUUGCGAAGGCGAUCUGCUAGAACUCUACUGACGCUAAGGCAUGAAAGCGUGGGGAGCAAACAGGAUUGGAAACCCCGGUAGUCC